rnacentral:lncRNA from 1 species
GUCAUAAUGGCUAUGUGUAGAAUUUGACAAGGUUAUAGUUUCCAAUCCUUGGACUCUGAAAAACAGAAUGAUAAAUAUGGUGAGCACAUAAUAACAUAACAUUGAAGUUGUAAUGUUCAAUCAACACACUGCAGCCAUCUGCAUACGCGUAAACCACUGCUGCUCUACAAACCUAUAUUACCUGGAUAAUUAUUCUGUUCUAUCAUCAGUGAAAACAUGCCUAUGAGGCAUCCUUACUUCCCUACAUUGUUUUGGUGAUAUUUCUCAUCUUCACCCUACUGCCAUUUGGAUCUUUAUUUUAUACUUCACACCCAAAAAAUGAGUCUGUGGUGGAGUAAGUUGACCAUGUCUUCUCGCAUAAUUAUUCCAAUUAAAAGUAGCCUUUUCUUGAUCUUUCUUUUAAGCAAAUACUAAUAGUUGAAAGAGGAUAAACCACAACGUCGGUUCGAAUGAGACCUCCGUGGAACGAUCUAGCUAAAAUGACACCGCCAGUAAUCAACAAAAAAAAAAAUUGAGAGCUCAUCACAGAGCAAAACAGAAAAGAUUUCUAAAUCUGAAAACUCGAAUUAAACAAAUAUUAGAGACUCCAUGGCGUAAAUUGCAAUGGAUAACAAAGCACACUUAUAGGAAAUAAACAACAUGUAUUCAUGUGAACAGAAGUUCCAUAUUCAAAGCCAAAAACUGAUAUGUUGGGUUUUGAAGAAGAUUCAAACAUCAGAUGUACUGAAUCUUACAUCUGAACCACACCAUAGUUGGUCCACGGAAUGCCUCUCCACUGCCUCCGGUAGCAGCACCAUUUUUCAGCAGCAGCAGCCUCGCCUCAUCAGCUGAUGGAGGUAACAUCAAGCACUCACGCUGAUUUUGCAGAGAACAACAGUAAAACCUACAACUAUCAGUUAUGAAUAAUAAUAAAACGGUGGGAUCAAUUAUUUAGAAACAAGUGAGCACCUAUUAUUAGAGAAGCCGGUGCAUCACAUUUAUCUCUCCUCUUGCAAAUUGUAAAAAAAUUGAGCAGUGCAAAUUGUAAUUAAUAUCACCGAACAAGAAUACUAUAGGAUUAUUGAUUUAUUCGUGCGAAGACAAACAGGAUAAGUCACCUGAACCAUCUAUGUUAAUUUAGGUGAGAGCAAAUCAGUAUGUUAUGCAAUAGUUUGAUACCAUAAAAAACAGUUGGAGAAUGAUCAAAUAAAUUUAUUACCCAGCAGCGCCACCGGAUGUUCUGUGUUCAAGAGCAGUGCAAACAUAGGCCGAUGUGUAUAACAAAAGAAGUGUUUGCAUCCAAGGAUAACACAGGAACAUACGUGAUUGUGUGUGUGUAAGAGAGAGAAGAGAGAGAGAGAAAUAUCCUCUUCUUUCUCACAUCUGCACAAGUUGACAUAGAUCAAGAAAUCAAAAAAAGAUUGGGGGAGGCAAAUGACGAGGUCAUACAUAGGCAGCCCAGAUUGGGGACGGGG